AAAGAAACUAUUUUGGAAAAUGAUGUUUUACUCUUUUCCAAUGUAUAGCAAAAUUGAUGUGAUUAUUUUUCCUUUAAAGAUUUCUUCAUGUUUAUGAAACGGCCUUUUAUUUUUUUAAAAAGGUUUUGAAUUGUGUCUUACUCUCUCAAUAUUUAACUGCCCUUCAUUUGCAACAGUAGUGACACCACUAAUGUUGGACCAAGAUACACUGUUUUUUAAACAUUUCAUUAGCUCACUUCUCCCAAACACACUAUUUCUAUUUCAGGAGUACAAAGGCAUGUUUUUAAAUCUAUAAAAUAAAGAAUAAGGGAUAGCUUUGUAUUUUUGUUGUUGACUAAAUUGCACCAGAAAUGUUUAUGGAAGUAUAUCUUUAAGACCAUUUUAUAAAACAUAACAAAAAAAUAGUUGUGGAGGAUUUUUAUUUGCAUGAUCAUAGUUAACCAAAUUUCAUUGCACAUUAAUUCUGUACAUCAGUUCAUAAAAAAUGUUCAUUGUAGAUUUUGUUCAAUGCCAAUGAGUCUGUGAUUUUACAACUUGUCUGGUCACUUUUCGGGAGGAUUAUGUUGUAAAUUUUCCAUUCUUCUGUAGAAAAAUAGGUGCAAUAAUUAUCAAAGUUUCGAUGUCUUGAGUCUUCAUCUUAGGGAAUUAUUUUAUUAUUAUGUUUAAACUUAACAUUUCACGUACUAACAUUUGGAGAGCCACAUGCUAUAAUUAAAGUAAAAUUAAGUAUGUAUAAAACAUUAAUUGCUAACAAUGGUUAGCAAACUUUUCAGUGAUAAUGUUCAUUUUGAAAAUAUGUACUGUAUAAAAUUAAGAAAAUGUGUAACUCACUGUAACAAGUUCCAUUAUGAAAAUCUUAUGAUUCUUCAGUGAGGUUAUCUUGCUGCACUCUGUAGCAAAUCCAUUUAAUCUACAUUAUAAUAAAAUUUCUUGCUGCAGUGCAACAGGAAGCUUUUUCAGUGAUCUCCACUGUAUAUGUAAAUUACAAAUGUGGCUGUACAACUUGUUCUAGGUAUUAAAGGUUAAAUUGCUUUCUGUAUCUUCUUACAACUUGUAAGUUUGAUUUUUAAGAUUUCCUUUUGCCCACGACGAAUGUCAGGAAUUUAAGAAUUUGUUUAACUUAGGCAUUUCUCCCCUACCACAUAGUAUUAUGUCACCAUAAUGAACAAUUGGUAUUUAGAUAGAUAACCAAUUUUCAGACACAUUUUCGGAUUUUCUGUGAAGUUGAAUAAACAUGAAAGCUAAUAUAUG
rnacentral:lncRNA from 1 species